rnacentral:tRNA from 1 species
GCGUUCGUAGUCUAGGGGUAUGAUUUCGGCCUUCCAAGCCGAUGGCCCGGGUUCAAAUCCCGGCGAGCGCACCA